rnacentral:rRNA from 1 species
CGGAGGAUCCAAGCGUUAUCCGGAAUCAUUGGGUUUAAAGGGUCCGUAGGCGGUUUAGUAAGUCGGUGGUGAAAGCCCAUCGCUCAACGGUGGAACGGCCAUUGAUACUGCUAGACUUGAAUUAUUAGGAAGUAACUAGAAUAUGUAGUGUAGCGGUGAAAUGCUUAGAGAUUACAUGGAAUACCAAUUGCGAAGGCAGGUUACUACUAAUGGAUUGACGCUGAUGGACGAAAGCGUGGGUAGCGGACAGGAUUAGAUACCCUGGUAGUCCACGCCGUAAACGAUGGAUACUAGCUGUUCGGAGCAAUCUGAGUGGCUAAGCGAAAGUGAUAAGUAUCCCACCUGGGGAGUACGUUCGCAAGAAUG